rnacentral:piRNA from 1 species
UCUUUCAUUCAUUGAAGAAAU